GUAAUAUAAAUAUUACCAAUAUUUAUAUAAAGUUAGUCAAAUUUAAGAAAGUUUAACCGCCACCGCCACGUAUCUCACUAUGUCACUUUUAUUGGGACAAAGGGAGUAUAUGUACCUCCUCCAUCCGUAUAAAGAAGGUCGCAUAGGCUACGCCGCUGCUGUGCCGCGAGAAGUUGGCUCCCACGCCGUAGCAGAGGACGGGGAUAUCAUGCGUACACAAAGACGAAAGAAGCUAGUUCAAUCAGGAAGAAGCGUCCACCUUACAUAGUACGUACGCAGGGGCGGACCUAGGAUUUGAACAUAGGGGGGACCGUGCAAACUAAGAACAAUCAUGUGUGUAAAAAUAUUACAUGGCAAAGAUGUACAUAGCACCAAAAUAAGCGUUUGCGUUGCAGUAAAAAAACAGAAAAACUAGAAAAAUAAAGAGAAAUUUAAUUAGUCCCAAGCCUCUAACCUUCACCUGAUCAAUCUAUUUCUUUGGCCAGGAAAAGAACCACAAUAAAAACAACUAAUUAAGUGAGGCAAAAUUACUUAGUGCUAGAUUCUAACAUCAAAUGGCAAACAAACAGUUACAUAUUGUUUAGCCUCAGACAAGACGAUCACUUAAAUGGGUAAAAUGAUCAUCUAAAUAGAAGGUUAAACAGAAACACCAUUCCAUUGUUAGUGUUUAAAAGUUGAGUACAUGGGCUAAAAUGGCCAUUUAGACUUUAGAUGAAUAAUGAUAGAAACAUAGGAGAUAAGGGAGAUAAUAGAAAGACUAAUGCUAAAUAAUAUAGAUCUCAUUGUUGG
rnacentral:lncRNA from 1 species